AAACAAAAUGAACAUUGUUAAACUUUUGCUUUUUUUACGUAUUAACAAAUUAGCGUGUAUAGAUUUAUUUUGAUACCGCGCCCGCGCCAAUUUUUACAUUUCUAAAAAAAUUUCUUCGUUUCGAAUACGACGUGUUUAAGCUCGCGAGUGGUAUUAAGAAAUUGACCUUUUCGAUAGGAGGUUAAAAAUGCAUCUCUCCCAGGCGGUCUCGAGUGGUUGGAUGAAAAUUGAUGUCAUCAAACAUCCGGAAGAGAAGAACGUAAUUCCUCCAAGCUGCAGGAUUCCUUAGCCGCGGUGGUCCAUCGAAACACCCAACAUCCGUCGAUUCUGUCCGGGGAUUUUGGCAUCGCCAAUCGUGGUGAGCUGGUGUUGAACGGCGACGGGUCUAUUCGAUGCCGACUAUCUGGAUAAGCAGCGGUGACCAUCAUCACAGAUUUCCUCUCAAAAUGCCAACAGCAGCAGCGAAGCUGUUAAAUUUGCACGAUGGCGGUGGUUCCCAGUCAGCCCCAAAGAUGACGACUGGAAUGGUAUCCGUCGAGCGGGAAAACAACGGAUUACUUCAUAAGUUCACCAACGAGCGCCGAUGGAGGGCAAGGAUGUUGAGGCUGGUUGAUUUGCUGCCCGGACCCAGGUUUUGAUUUAGCUAGACGGCGACGAGUUUCGGAAUCAUGCGCCACUUGCUUUGCUUAUUGUCCCUCAACUACACCGAGGACGUCACCAAGAAGGAGGAAAGACUGAAGUGCCUGGAAGCUGGUGCCACACUAGAUCUUAAAGAAAUGAUCCAGCAGAACAACACCCGGGUUCGGUUGCAGACCACCAAAGCGGAAAUACCAUCUUCUGCCCUUAAAACCAUGUAGCAUUU